AUUGAACGCUGGCGGCAGGCCUAACACAUGCAAGUCGAGCGGAGCGGCGGACGGGUGAGUAAUGCCUAGGAAUCUGCCUGGUAGUGGGGGAUAACGUCCGGAAACGGGCGCUAAUACCGCAUACUAUCAGAUGAGCCUAGGUCGGAUUCGCUAGUUGGUGGGGUAAAGGCCUACAAAGUCGACGAUACGUAACUGGUCUGAGAGGAUGAUCAGUCACACUGGAACUGAGACACUGGCCAGAGUCCUACGGGAGGCAGAAGUGGGGAAGAUUGGGCAAUGGGCGAAAGCCUGAUCCAGCCAUGCCGCGUGUGUGAAGAAGGUCUUCGGAUUUUAAAGCUCUUUAAGUUGUGAGGCGUUACCAACAGAAUAAGCACCGGCUAACUACGUGCCAGCAGCCGCGGUAAUAC
rnacentral:rRNA from 1 species